GACAGAGGGUGCAAACGUUGUUCGGAAUUACUGGGCGUAAAGCGCGUGUAGGCGGCUAUGUAAGUCGGGCGUGAAAUCCCACGGCUCAACCGUGGACGUGCGCCUGAUACUGCGGUGACUUGAGGUCGGUAGAGGUAAGUGGAACUAGCGGUGUAGCGGUGAAAUGCGCAGAUAUCGCUAGGAACGCCGGUGGCGAAGGCGACUUGCUGGGCCGUACCUGACGCUGAUGCGCGAAAGCUAGGGGAGCGAACCGG
rnacentral:rRNA from 1 species